CUGCAACUUGUGGACCUGGCGAGCACAAAGCCUGGCACCUCGUCUGCUCCAUUCACGAUCAAUGCACAUCAGAGUGACAUAGCCUGUGUGUCUCUAAACCAGCCAGGCACUGUAGUGGCCUCAGCCUCCCAGAAGGGUACCCUUAUUCGCCUCUUUGACACACAAUCCAAGGAGAAACUGGUGGAGCUGCGCCGAGGCACUGACCCUGCCACCCUCUACUGCAUUAACUUCAGCCACGACUCCUCCUUCCUCUGCGCUUCCAGUGAUAAGGGUACUGUCCAUAUCUUUGCUCUCAAGGAUACCCGCCUCAACCGCCGCUCCGCCCAUCUGCGUAGAUGGGACCUUCCACAAAUAUGUCUUCACUCCUGAUGGAAACUGCAACAGAGAGGCUUUCGACGUGUACCUUGACAUCUGUGAUGAUGAUGACUUUUAAGGACCCUGGGGGCUGUGCUAGGGACCUGCAGUGGCAGAACUGCAGAGCUGAGCCUUGGCAGUGGGGCGUGCUUGGAAGCCACCAGCCAGCAAGCAUUAAUGGGGCUGGUGCCCACUUUCCACUCAGCAGAGCUAUGUCUAAAUAAAGAGCUCACUUCCCCCCAGCACUUCUUGAUGACUGUGUGCCCCAAGGGCCAGGCCAGAGACCCAGGAAGGCAGCGACCCCUUGGGAUCCCUAACCUGGAGGAAAUUGCCAGGGACCCAGAGGGAGUGCCCUAAUCCAACCUGGGGAUUUUUUAAAAGCUUCCUAGGAAGAGAUGAUCUCCGAUGUGAUGAAUACGAAUAAAAGGCCCUUAAUGGCA
rnacentral:lncRNA from 10 species